UGGUGGUCCGUUCCAGUUCUACGUCAUCAGCACGUCAAUCCUUUUGUAGCUGUAGUUCUGACAUUUCCGCAAGGAGGCGCUUGUCCACAUUGCUCACCACCUCCAUCAUGGCUGCCGUCAGAAAAGUCAUCGAUGCCAUCAAAGAUUUAUACCAAAAUCCCUUCAAAAGGUCCUUGAUCGUGAACUUCAGCCUGUUCGUGGCGGGGGUGUGGGCAGCCAGGAACCUGAGCGACUUUGACCCCAUGGCUCCUCCACAGCCGGCUGUGACAGCAUAGCCGUAGUCUGGAGCGUAAUGGGCUUCGUAGUUAGCAUUUUCAAGGCAAAUAAUUUUUGAAGAGGAACUGGUGACAGAAGAGGGAAAGCAGCAAAUGUUACUCUUCCACUGGAGACAUCAAUGGAACUGAAUUUGUUACCAUCCUAUGAAGCAAGAUUUCUUGUACUUUUGGUUUAUUUUAGUGUCACAUGAAGAAACAGUUGCACCCCUAAUCUGGAUUUCCUUUGACAGGAAGUCAAAUGUCUCAGUUGUUUUAUACUGUAUUUCAUUAGAUGAGAUAUUUAUUGGAAGCAUUGACCAUAAGUCCACAAUACCAUGAGAAUUUAGGAUCACAACUUGGCUCUUCCAGCGGACCUUCCCUAUCCACAGCCAGUCUCAUUCUGAUCUGGCCUAAGCUGAGGCUACAUUGUACAUGUAUAUGGGUCAGUCCUACAUUGUAGUUUCAAAGAUCAGUUCCAAAAUAAAUGCAGUAGCAACUAGAGAGCAACAAACACCCACACACGACACGUAUGUAACAAACGCGAUGCUGAACUCCCCACAUGAUUAAUGCAUAACUGUCAUAUCUUGAAGACAGCUUUGAUAAUCAUUCCAUGUUUCAGUACCAAUAAAACAACUCAUGACUUGAA